rnacentral:lncRNA from 1 species
UUUCGUUUAGGUUUAGUCCUCUUGGCGAUUCUGACACCUUUGAUUUGCUAUUGAUCUUAUAACAAUCGAACCAGCUCGUCGAGCAAAGCAAACAAGUCGAGGGAAACUCAGCAUGUGCGCAACAACAACAGAAGAGGGAGAUUGAGAACAGCCACAACGAGAAGCUCGUUGGUCUGCUUUCACGAUACUGGUUCAAGAGAAGUCGUGGUCUUAUGCCACGGAUUCAAAUCGGACAAGAACAA